rnacentral:misc_RNA from 1 species
GAUGAAGAACGCAGCGAAAUGCGAUAAGUAAUGUGAAUUGCAGAAUUCAGUGAAUCAUCGAAUCUUUGAACGCACAUUGCGCCCGCCAGUAUUCUGGCGGGCAUGCCUGUUCGAGCGUCAUUUCAACCAUCAAGCCCCCGGCUUGUGUUGGGGACCUGCGGCUGCCGCAGGCCCUGAAAACCAGUGGCGGGCUCGCUAGUCACUCGGAGCGUAGUAAUACAUCUCGCUCAGGGCGUGCUGCGGGUUCCGGCUGUUAAAAAGCCUUAUUUACCCAAGGUUGACCUCGGAUCAGGUAGGAAGACCCGCUGAACUUAAGCAUAUCAAUAAGCGGAGGA